rnacentral:rRNA from 1 species
UAGGGAAUCUUCCACAAUGGACGAAAGUCUGAUGGAGCAACGCCGCGUGAGUGAAGAAGGGUUUCGGCUCGUAAAGCUCUGUUGGUAGUGAAGAAAGAUAGAGGUAGUAACUGGCCUUUAUUUGACGGUAAUUACUUAGAAAGUCACGGCUAACUACGUGCCAGCAGCCGCGGUAAUACGUAGGUGGCAAGCGUUGUCCGGAUUUAUUGGGCGUAAAGCGAGUGCAGGCGGUUCAAUAAGUCUGAUGUGAAAGCCUUCGGCUCAAACCGGAGAAUUGCAUCAGAAACUGUUGAACUUGAGUGCAGAAGAGGAGAGUGGAACUCCAUGUGUAGCGGUGGAAUUGCGUAGAUAUAUGGAAGAACACCAGUGGCGAAGGCGGCUCUCUGGUCUGCAACUGACGCUGAGGCUCGAAAGCAUGGGUAGCGAACCA